rnacentral:rRNA from 1 species
GACAUAGGUCGCAAACGUUAUCCGGAAUUACUGGGCGUAAAGGGCGCGUAGGCGGGAUGGCAAGUCGGUCGUGAAAUCCCUCGGCUCAACCGAGGUGCGUCGAUCGAUACUGCCGUUCUUGAGGAUUGCAGAGGAGACUGGAAUUCCCGGUGUAGCGGUGAAAUGUGUAGAGAUCGGGAGGAACACCGGUGGCGAAGGCGGGUCUCUGGGCAAUUCCUGACGCUGAGGCGCGAAAGCGUGGGGAGCAAACGGG